UGGGCUCACUGCAACCUCCGCCUCCCGGGUUCAAGCAAUUCUUCUGCCUCAGCCUUCUGAGUAGCUGGGAUUACAGGUGUGAACCACUACGCCCAGCUAAUUUUUUUUGUAUUUUUAGUAGAGAUGGGGUUUCACCAUGUUGGUCAGUUUGCUCUCGAACUCCAGACCUCAAAGGAUCCGCCCACCUCAGCCUCCCAAAGUGCUGGGAUUAUAGGUGUCAGCCACCGUGCCCAGCCCUAGUCUUCUUUUAAAAUAGCACAUAGAAGGACUUCAUAUAUGCUGGGAUAAAGACACAUGCUUCCAUCAAGUUCAGCAUCUGGAAAAGGUUCCCUCUCUUAGUUGACUGAAAUCCAUGAAGGAAAGAUUAGAGUUUGCCUUCCCUGCUGCCAUUGUAUCUGCAGAUGGAACUUCCUCCCCCACAAGCAGAUGGAAGAACCUGUGCAGUGUCACUUCGGGGAAGCUACGUGGCAGGGUGGAAGUAGAAUGAACCUGCACAUUUUUAAAACAUUUUUUUACUUUGGUCCUUGGAGGACCCAAGGGACUUGUAAAGAAGAAGAAGGGGGUAGACUGUGAGUUUGUAGCUAAAAGAAGAAGAGAGAUGACCCAGCAACCUAGAGAAGCAGGAAGAAAAUGUGUGUUCCACCUUCCUCUCCUCCCCAGAAUUCUGCAGUGUGUGGAGAAGAGUAGAGUGGUCUCCGGCCUCCAUGAGAGGGCCUGGACCAGACCCUGCUGAAUGCAGAGAGCUAUCUGCAGGGUGAGCGUCCAGGCAGACAGGACCCAGGGUGGCCGCACAAAAGAUUCCCCCAGUACGGUGAGGUGUAGAAGCAGCAGCGAGCCAGCACUUCUGAAGGAGAUGACUGAGCUCAAUUCUUCUUUUCUGAAGAGGCUUUGCUCCUAAGGAGUCCCUGUACUUCUCUUUCUGCCAGAGUAAACCUAGCUUCCAUACACUUACUGUCAAGGCACGUGACAACUCUAUAGCACCCCCCAGGAAUCAUCAAAAUCUGAACUAAAAACCCAGAGCAUAGGGGGUUGGCUGCUGAGUGACCCCCAACAAAGGCAAGGACAGUAGGGUCAUUGCAGACCUCAGGUCUUACUACUCUCCAGUGAGGAGGGAGGAGACUCCAAAUGGUUGCUGUCACCCAGACCUCCUCCCGAUAUGCUCACGCAGAGAGGAUGAGGCAGAAGAGCCACUGCCUGCCUUGCCACUCACCUCCGAUACUUGGCUUUAUCCUUUGUGUCUCACUCUAGGACUAUUUAUUCGUUUCCUGGUGCUCUAGGACACAGCAGAGAGAGCUGACUGGCUAUUCUGGGAUGAAUGGAGAUGCCAAAAGCCUAUGGAACCGGGUAAUAUCAGGUGAUUUUCCAUUCAAGUCCUAUCUGGUUGGUACCUCCAUGAGAUUUUAAAAAUAGAAAAGACGAGGCUUUCUGUAGGUCCAUGUAUUUCAGCCUGGCCUUUGGAUGCAGAGGCCAGCUGGGAAGCUAGCAGUGCUUCUGGCCAAGACUAGAUCCCUAGCGCAGAGCCUCAGGGCUCUCUGUAGCUUCCCAGCUUGUGCAUGCACAGUUCAUAUCUGACAUGAUAGCAUCACAUCACUGCGCAAGCUAAGCUUUAGUAUGGUGACAGACACUAUCCAUUCACUGAGUCAGCAGUGUCCAAGAGACUUUUUCUGAUGUGGUUUUCAUUGCCUGCCAACAAUUUCGGAGUCUAGAAAGCCAGAACCCUGUUUUCCAUGUGUUUUAUUUUUAUGAAAGAAACUUCAUGCACCUGACUCCUCAAGCACCUCAAGAACAACUGCAGAAUUUUCUCAAUCCAGAUGAAACUGGCUGGAACAAACUUCCUCAGAAUUGAGGAGCCUUCAGAAUCUGACCCAUUUUCCUGGUUCCUGAAAGCUGUCAAUGGUCCUCAGCAGAGACCUUCCCUGGCCUCACUGUCCCUCUGGCCUUUUACCAUCGUGCUCCUCCCGCACUCACACUGCCCCCAGCAGGUGUUGAAGGCUCAGACCUGGACUUUCUUUCUCUCUGCACAAAGGCUCUUCUCCACCCACUUAAACGGGGCACCACAUAAGCACUUAAGGUGUUCAAAAGGAGAGCACCGAUCCUGACUGCCAGGUUGUGGGGAUGUGGACAACUUUUGCACUGGAGGGUGAUGGCACCUGGGCUGGGUCUGGUUACAGUGGUGGGCUGGUGUUUGCCAUCAGUGUAGGGUCACAUGGAAGUGACGGGGUAAAACUCCUGUGGUCAGGCCGGGCGCGGUGGCUCACACCUGUAAUCCCAGCAUUUUGGGAGGUCGAGGAAAGCAGAUCACCUGAGGUCAGGAGUUCGAGACCAGCCUGGCCAACAUGGAGAAACCCCAUCUCUACUAAAAAUACAAAAAUUAUCUGGACGUGGUGGUCCAUG
rnacentral:lncRNA from 10 species